GAUGAACGCUGGCGGCGUGCUUAACACAUGCAAGUCGAACGGAAAGGCCGAAGCUUGCUUCGGUACUCGAGUGGCGAACGGGUGAGUAACACGUGGGUGAUCUGCCCUGUACUUCGGGAUAAGCUUGGGAAACUGGGUCUAAUACCGGAUAUGACGAUCUCUUGGAUGGGGUUGUGGAAAGCUUUUGCGGUAUUGGAUGAGCUCGCGGCCUAUCAGCCUGUUGGUGGGGUAAUGGCCUACCAAGGCGUCGACGGGUAGCCGGCCUGAGAGGGUGUACGGCCACAUUGGGACUGAGAUACGGCCCAGACUCCUACGGGAGGCAGCAGUGGGGAAUAUUGCACAAUGGGCGCAAGCCUGAUGCAGCGACGCCGCGUGGGGGAUGACGGCCUUCGGGUUGUAAACUCCUUUCGCAAUCGACGAAGCCUUUUGGUGACGGUAGGUUGAGAAGAAGCACCGGCUAACUACGUG
rnacentral:rRNA from 1 species